GGGGAAUCUUGCACAAUGGAGGAAACUCUGAUGCAGCGACGCCGCGUGAGCGAUGAAGCCCUUCGGGGUGUAAAGCUCUUUCGGCAGGAACGAUAAUGACGGUACCUGCAGAAGAAGCUGCGGCUAACUACGUGCCAGCAGCCGCGGUAAUACGUAGGCAGCAAGCGUUGUUCGGAAUUACUGGGCGUAAAGAGUGUGUAGGCGGUGUCGUAAGUUUGGUGUGAAAUCUCCCGGCUUAACCGGGAGGGUGCGCCGAAGACUGCGAUGCUGGAGUAUGGGAGAGGAAAGCGGAAUUCCUGGUGUAGCGGUGAAAUGCGUAGAUAUCAGGAGGAACACCUGCGGUGUAGACGGCUUUCUGGACCAUGACUGACGCUGAGACACGAAAGCGUGGGUAGCAAAC
rnacentral:rRNA from 1 species